rnacentral:rRNA from 1 species
UACGUAGGGUGCGAGCGUUGUCCGGAAUUAUUGGGCGUAAAGGGCUCGUAGGCGGUUUGUCGCGUCGGGAGUGAAAACCCAGGGCUUAACCCUGGGCUGGCUUCCGAUACGGGCAGACUAGAGGUAUGCAGGGGAGAACGGAAUUCCUGGUGUAGCGGUGAAAUGCGCAGAUAUCAGGAGGAACACCGGUGGCGAAGGCGGUGGUCUGGGCCGGCACUGACGCUGAGGAGCGAAAGCGUGGGGAGCGAACAGG